ACAUGCUGGAGGAGACAGCAGGAAAAAGGAAGUAAACAAAUGUGUUUAUCCACAAACCCUCCUACCACGAGGAACUGGAAUCUCUGAUGGAAGGUUCAUCAGGGCUGGAACAAGCAGGGGAAGCAGAUUGAGAUGAGCAUUACAGAUCUGCCGUGCUCUGGUUUAUGGUUUGUUCCCAGCGAUACACAGGGGGAGGAAAAAAAAAGGAAAAAAAAUACAAGCGUUGAGUUUCAUCAGGAUAAAGAAAGAGCAGGUUCCAAGAGAAGAAAGAAGAGAUGAAAAAGAGAAGUUUGAUUAAAAUCCCCUCUUGUUCCAUGUGUUUGAUGUAAAUAUCUUCACACCUU